rnacentral:tRNA from 1 species
UAGAGUGUAGUUCAGUGGUAGAACACUUGCCUCGUAUGCACAAGGUCCUGGGUUUAAUCCCUAGCACUUCAA